GGGUUGUGAGGUUAAGCGACUAAGCGUACACGGUGGAUGCCCUGGCAGUCAGAGGCGAUGAAGGGCGUGCUAAUCUGCGAUAAGCGCCGGUAAGGUGAUAUGAACCGUUAUAACCGGCGAUACCCGAAUGGGGAAACCCAGUGUGACUCGUCACACUAUCAUUAACUGAAUCCAUAGGUUAAUGAGGCGAACCGGGGGAACUGAAACAUCUAAGUACCCCGAGGAAAAGAAAUCAACCGAGAUUCCCCCAGUAGCGGCGAGCGAACGGGGAGGAGCCCAGAGCCUGAAUCAGCAUGUGUGUUAGUGGAAGCGUCUGGAAAGGCGCGCGAUACAGGGUGACAGCCCCGUACACAAAAGCGCAUGUGCUGUGAGCUCGAUGAGUAGGGCGGGACACGUGGUAUCCUGUCUGAAUAUGGGGGGACCAUCCUCCAAGGCUAAAUACUCCUGACUGACCGAUAGUGAACCAGUACCGUGAGGGAAAGGCGAAAAGAACCCCGGCGAGGGGAGUGAAAAAGAACCUGAAACCGUGUACGUACAAGCAGUGGGAGCACAGGUUUACCUGUGUGACUGCGUACCUUUUGUAUAAUGGGUCAGCGACUUAUAUUCUGUAGCAAGGUUAACCGAAUAGGGGAGCCGGAGGGAAACCGAGUCUUAAUUGGGCGUUAAGUUGCAGGGUAUAGACCCGAAACCCGGUGAUCUAGCCAUGGGCAGGUUGAAGGUUGGGUAACACUAACUGGAGGACCGAACCGACUAAUGUUGAAAAAUUAGCGGAUGACCUGUGGCUGGGGGUGAAAGGCCAAUCAAACCGGGAGAUAGCUGGUUCUCCCGAAAGCUAUUUAGGUAGCGCCUCGUGAAUUCAUCUCCGGGGGUAGAGCACUGUUUCGGCUAGGGGGCCAUCCCGGCUUACCAACCCGAUGCAAACUGCGAAUACCGGAGAAUGUUAUCACGGGAGACACACGGCGGGUGCUAACGUCCGUCGUGAAGAGGGAAACAACCCAGACCGCCAGCUAAGGUCCCAAAGUCAUGGUUAAGUGGGAAACGAUGUGGGAAGGCCCAGACAGCCAGGAUGUUGGCUUAGAAGCAGCCAUCAUUUAAAGAAAGCGUAAUAGCUCACUGGUCGAGUCGGCCUGCGCGGAAGAUGUAACGGGGCUAAACCAUGCACCGAAGCUGCGGCAGCGACGCUUAUGCGUUGUUGGGUAGGGGAGCGUUCUGUAAGCCUGUGAAGGUGUGUCGUGAGGCAUGCUGGAGGUAUCAGAAGUGCGAAUGCUGACAUAAGUAACGAUAAAGCGGGUGAAAAGCCCGCUCGCCGGAAGACCAAGGGUUCCUGUCCAACGUUAAUCGGGGCAGGGUGAGUCGACCCCUAAGGCGAGGCCGAAAGGCGUAGUCGAUGGGAAACGGGUUAAUAUUCCCGUACUUGGUGUUACUGCGAAGGGGGGACGGAGAAGGCUAUGUUGGCCGGGCGACGGUUGUCCCGGUUUAAGCGUGUAGGUGUGUGUUCCAGGUAAAUCCGGUUCACUUUAACACUGAGGCGUGAUGACGAGGCACUACGGUGCUGAAGCAACAAAUGCCCUGCUUCCAGGAAAAGCCUCUAAGCAUCAGGUAACAUCAAAUCGUACCCCAAACCGACACAGGUGGUCAGGUAGAGAAUACCAAGGCGCUUGAGAGAACUCGGGUGAAGGAACUAGGCAAAAUGGUGCCGUAACUUCGGGAGAAGGCACGCUGACAUGUAGGUGAAGUGAUUUACUCAUGGAGCUGAAGUCAGUCGAAGAUACCAGCUGGCUGCAACUGUUUAUUAAAAACACAGCACUGUGCAAACACGAAAGUGGACGUAUACGGUGUGACGCCUGCCCGGUGCCGGAAGGUUAAUUGAUGGGGUCAGCGCAAGCGAAGCUCCUGAUCGAAGCCCCGGUAAACGGCGGCCGUAACUAUAACGGUCCUAAGGUAGCGAAAUUCCUUGUCGGGUAAGUUCCGACCUGCACGAAUGGCGUAAUGAUGGCCAGGCUGUCUCCACCCGAGACUCAGUGAAAUUGAACUCGCUGUGAAGAUGCAGUGUACCCGCGGCAAGACGGAAAGACCCCGUGAACCUUUACUAUAGCUUGACACUGAACAUUGAGCCUUGAUGUGUAGGAUAGGUGGGAGGCUUUGAAGUGUGGACGCCAGUCUGCAUGGAGCCGACCUUGAAAUACCACCCUUUAAUGUUUGAUGUUCUAACGUGGACCCGUUAUCCGGGUUGCGGACAGUGUCUGGUGGGUAGUUUGACUGGGGCGGUCUCCUCCUAAAGAGUAACGGAGGAGCACGAAGGUUGGCUAAUCCUGGUCGGACAUCAGGAGGUUAGUGCAAUGGCAUAAGCCAGCUUGACUGCGAGCGUGACGGCGCGAGCAGGUGCGAAAGCAGGUCAUAGUGAUCCGGUGGUUCUGAAUGGAAGGGCCAUCGCUCAACGGAUAAAAGGUACUCCGGGGAUAACAGGCUGAUACCGCCCAAGAGUUCAUAUCGACGGCGGUGUUUGGCACCUCGAUGUCGGCUCAUCACAUCCUGGGGCUGAAGUAGGUCCCAAGGGUAUGGCUGUUCGCCAUUUAAAGUGGUACGCGAGCUGGGUUUAGAACGUCGUGAGACAGUUCGGUCCCUAUCUGCCGUGGGCGCUGGAGAACUGAGGGGGGCUGCUCCUAGUACGAGAGGACCGGAGUGGACGCAUCACUGGUGUUCGGGUUGUCAUGCCAAUGGCACUGCCCGGUAGCUAAAUGCGGAAGAGAUAAGUGCUGAAAGCAUCUAAGCACGAAACUUGCCCCGAGAUGAGUUCUCCCUGAGACUUAGAGUCUCCUGAAGGAACGUUGAAGACGACGACGUUGAUAGGCCGGGUGUGUAAGCGCAGCGAUGCGUUGAGCUAACCGGUACUAAUGAACCGUGAGGCUUAACCUUACAACGCCGAAG
rnacentral:rRNA from 1 species